rnacentral:rRNA from 1 species
AACAAACGCUGGCGGCGUGCCUAAUACAUGCAAGUCGAACGGGGAAAGCUUUCGGGUGAGUACUAGUGGCGCACGGGUGAGUAACGCGUGGAUAAUCUGCCUUAGAGUGGGGGAUAACUAGUCGAAAGAUUAGCUAAUACCGCAUAAGACCACAAGAACUGCGGUUCAAGAGGUCAAAGGAUUUUCGCUCUAAGAUGAGUCCGCGUAAGAUUAGCUAGUUGGUGAGGGAACGGCUCACCAAGGCAACGAUCUUUAACUGGUCUGGGAGGAUGAUCAGUCACACUGGAACUGAGACACGGUCCAGACUCCUACGGGAGGCAGCAGUAGGGAAUAUUGCACAAUGGAGGAAACUCUGAUGCAGCGACGCCGCGUGAGUGAUGAAGGCCUUCGGGUCGUAAAGCUCUGUCGCAGGGGAAUAACACAAUGAAUGUACCCUGUAAGAAAGGAUCGGCUAACUUCGUGCCAGCAGCCGCGGUAAUAC